GACGAACCGUGCGAACGUUGUUCGGAAUCACUGGGCUUAAAGGGCGCGUAGGCGGCUACGCAAGUCCGGGGUGAAAGCCCCCAGCUUAACUGGGGAAGUGCCUCGGAUACUGCGCAGCUCGAGGGAGGUAGGGGCGGAUGGAACUUCCGGUGGAGCGGUGAAAUGCGUUGAUAUCGGAAGGAACGCCGGUGGCGAAAGCGAUCCGCUGGCCCUCUACUGACGCUGAGGCGCGAAAGCCAGGGGAGCAAAGCGGG
rnacentral:rRNA from 1 species